UACAGAGGGGGCCAGCGUUAUUCGGAAUUAUUGGGCGUAAAGGGAGCGUAGGCGGGUUUCUAAGUCAGGUGUUUAAUCCCGGGGCCCAACCCCGGACAGGCACUUGAAACUGGGAAUCUUGAAUAGUGGAGAGGUCAGUGGAAUUGGGGGUGUAGCGGUGGAAUGCGUAGAGAUCCCCAAGAACACCAGUGGCGAAGGCGGCUCACUGGCCCGAUACUGACGCUGAGGCACGAAAGCGUGGGGAGCAAACAGG
rnacentral:rRNA from 1 species